CACUCCUGCGGGAGGCAGCAGUGGGGAAUAUUGGACAAUGGGCGCAAGCCUGAUCCAGCCAUGCCGCGUGAGUGAUGAAGGCCCUAGGGUUGUAAAGCUCUUUCACCGGUGAAGAUAAUGACGGUAACCGGAGAAGAAGCCCCGGCUAACUUCGUGCCAGCAGCCGCGGUAAUACGAAGGGGACUAGCGUUGUUCGGAUUUACUGGGCGUAAAGCGCACGUAGGCGGACUAUUAAGUCAGGGGUGAAAUCCCGGGGCUCAACCCCGGAACUGCCUUUGAUACUGGUAGUCUUGAGUUCGAGAGAGGUGAGUGGAAUUCCGAGUGUAGAGGUGAAAUUCGUAGAUAUUCGGAGGAACACCAGUGGCGAAGGCGGCUCACUGGCUCGAUACUGACGCUGAGGUGCGAAAGCGUGGGGAGCAAACAGGAUUAGAAACCCGUGUAGUCCCAUG
rnacentral:rRNA from 1 species